AUUGGAUUUCUGCUCUUCUACCUUCAGUCUGUAUAUAUUUACUAUUGAUUCAGCUAUUUCACCUACCUUGGGUCACUGCAAAGCAGACUGAGCAGCUGGGGCACGUGACACUGGGAGAAGAUAUUUGAUGCAACACUGCAAAAGAUUGGUUUGGUGCAGCCUGUCUGAACUGAAAUGUCUUACUGUGAGCUAUGGGGAGUUUUCUACUGUUCGUUGCUUUGUGAUUGCUGCUGGCUGUUGUUUUGCCUGUCCUUCACUCUUCUGUGUUACUGGAAGUCAAGCUGGAUAUGUUGACAUCAAAUCAUUUUCCUGCCUUCAGUUCCAGAGGUCUCUAGAUGAGACAGAAGCCAGCAUACGCAGCUUGGCAGAUGAAGAAUCAGUGCAGUCAACACAUGCCGUGAAGAUCAGCUUCCCAUAAGAAGUACCCAGAUGGGAAGUAAGCUGCCACCUUUCAGGCCUGGCUUUCAGUCCUGCUGCUGGAGUUGGAUCUGUGCUGAAGGAAAGGAGAAGGGAACCUCUUGUCCAGCGGAGACACCAAGCAACUGUCAGAGAACCAAGAGCAGGAAAGAGCUGCUUGGACGCAAUAAAAAGUAAUCAGUGUUCUUAUGUGGCGUGUCC
rnacentral:lncRNA from 1 species